CAGCAGUCUGCAACCCGGAAGAGGAACCUCACCAGAAUUCAUGCUGAUACCUUGAUCUCAGACUUCCAGCCUACAGAACUGUGAGAAAUAAAAUUUGUGGCUUACAGGUCACCCAGUCUAUGGUACUUUGUUAUAGCAGUCUGAACUAAGAUAUAAAUCAAAAAUUAAACUGUUUGUCUGCAUUUUCUUGAAUGGGUUCAUAUUUUUAGUUUUCACCACCAUUCCAGGUAAUAAACAGCAUCACUCCUAGUCUUGAAUAACUGCCUUUGGUUGACAAUGUCCAUUCUAAUUUACUCUUACAGAAUACUGUGGUAUUUCCUCUUAAAUACAAUCUUCCAGGGCAAGGCAUGGUAUUCCAGGUAAGAACAGUUAGUUUGUAACUUUUGUAACUUCAAAUAAGGGGGCAGGGUAACGCUUUCCAUUUUGUUUCUGUUUUUCUUAGAUCUACUUCAUUUGUCAACCAUUUUGUUUCUCUCUCUUUUUUUUUUUUUCCUGAAACAGGGUCUUGCUCUGUUGCCCAGGCUGGAGUGCAGUGGCAACAUCUUGGCUCAAUGUAGCCUUGACCUCCCACUUCAGCCUCCACAGUAGCUGAGACUACAGAUAACACACCAACAAUGGAUCCAUUCUAUGGUUUCACAAAGUCAAUCUUGGAGAAAGAACCGCCAAAAGCUGGCACAAGCAGUAGCACCUUUACAGUGGGCAGGAAAACAACCAGAAGUCUUGGGGCUGCAGAGAUCCAGGCCGGCGAGAAGUCCAGAGCAUCAGACAGGAAGAGUUUCCUGGGGGUAGGAACAGUGACUGGCACAUGCGGGAUAAAAGUUCAUGAAAGAAGCCGAAUCGAUUAAAGGAAAUAAAAAGGCAACAUUUUCCUUUGCAUGACUGAUCAUAAUGGGGCCCCCAACCCUGUACACUUCAAGGAAAGGGUUAACAGGAGAAGCUAAAGGAACAUUUCCU
rnacentral:lncRNA from 1 species